rnacentral:tRNA from 1 species
UCCCUGGUGGCUCAGAGGUUAAAGCGUCUGCCUGCAAUGCGGGAGACUCGGGUUCGAUCCCUGGGUUGGGAA